rnacentral:rRNA from 1 species
AGAGUUUGAUCCUGGCUCAGGAUAAACGCUGGCGGCGAGCCUAAUGCAUGCAAGUCGAACGGGAGCCACUUCGGUGGUCGACCGUGGCGGACGGGUGAGGAACACGUAGCUAACCUGCCCAGUUGUGGGGGAUAUGCACCGGAAACGGUACGCAAUACCGCAUGAUGUCAAUUCUCGGGAGAGGGUUGAAGAAAGCCGAAAGGCGCAAUUGGAGGGGGCUGCGGCCGAUUAGCUAGCUGGUGGGGUAACGGCCUACCAGGGCGAUGAUCGGUAACUGGUCUGAGAGGACGGCCAGUCACACGGGGACUGAGACACGGCCCCGACUCCUACGGGAGGCAGCAGCAAGGAAUUUUCCACAAUGGACGCAAGUCUGAUGGAGCUACGCCGCGUGCGGGAUGACGCCUUUCGGGGUGUAAACCGCUUUUCAUAGGGACGAACACAAUGACGGUACCUAUGGAAUAAGGAUCGGCUAACUACGUGCCAGCAGCCGCGGUAAGACGUAGGAUCCGAGCGUUGUCCGGAGUUACUGGGCGUAAAGCGAGCGCAGGCGGUCGUGUGCAUCGGCGGUGAAAGCCCCCCGCUCAACGGGGGAGGGUCCGUCGAGAUGGCACGACUGGAGGCUGGGAUAGGUCGGUGGAAUUCCGGGUGUAGUGGUGAAAUGCGUAGAGAUCCGGAGGAACACCAGUGGCGAAGGCGGCCGACUGGACCAGACCUGACGCUAAGGCUCGAAGGCGUGGGGAGCGAACGGGAUUAGAUACCCCGGUAGUCCACGCAGUAAACGAUGGACACUGGAUGUGGCGGGAGUUCACCCCUGCCGUGUCGGCGCAAACGCAGUAAGUGUCCCGCCUGGGGAGUACGGCCGCAAGGCUAAAACUCAAAGGAAUUGACGGGGGCCCGCACAAGCAGCGGAGCGUGUGGUUUAAUUCGACACAACGCGCAAAACCUUACCAAGGCUUGACAUCUCCGGAAUCUGGCAGAAGUGCUGGAGUGCCUGCAAGGGAGCCGGAAGACAGGUGUUGCAUGGCUGUCGUCAGCUCGUGUCGUGAGAUGUUGGGUUAAGUCCCGCAACGAGCGCAACCCCCGUGGUCAGUUACAUGGUUGUCUGACCAGACUGCCGGAAGCAAACCGGAGGAAGGCGGGGAUGACGUCAAGUCAGCAUGGCCCUUACGCCUUGGGCUACACACACGCUACAAUGGCCGAGACAAUGGGUUGCCAAGCAGCAAUGCGGAGCCAAUCCCGUAAACUCGGUCUCAGUUCAGAUUGUGGGCUGUAACUCGCCCACAUGAAGACGGAGUUGCUAGUAACCGCCGGUCAGCAAUACGGCGGUGAAUAUGUUCCCGGGCCUUGUACACACCGCCCGUCACGUCAUGGGAGCCGGCAACACCUGAAGUCGGUGGGCUAACCCGCAAGGGAGGCAGCCGCCGAGGGUGGGGUUGGUGACUGGGACGAAGUCGUAACAAGGUAGCCGUAGCGGAAGCUGCGGCUG